UGAAGUUGGAGGUGGGAGAGUGAGAGGCGGCAGAGAAAACGACUGUCUCUUGCUCUGGCGUCUCUCACUCUCUCACCUCCGACUUCA
rnacentral:sRNA from 13 species